UACGUAGGGGCCAAGCGUUGUCCGGAUUUAUUGGGCGUAAAGAGCGUGUAGGCGGCUAGGUAGGUCCGUUGUGAAAACUCGAGCUCAACCUCGAGACGCCGGUGGAAACCAUCUAGCUAGAGUCCGGAAGAGGAGAGUGGAAUUCCUGGUGUAGCGGUGAAAUGCGCAGAUAUCAGGAAGAACACCCGUGGCGAAGGCGGCUCUCUGGGACGUGACUGACGCUGAGACGCGAAAGCGUGGGGAGCGAACAGG
rnacentral:rRNA from 1 species